rnacentral:rRNA from 1 species
CGUGUAGGCGGUUGGGCAAGUCAGAUGUGAAAGCCUUCCGCUCAACGGAAGAAGGGCAUUUGAAACUACCCGGCUGGAGUACGGGAGAGGAGAGUGGAAUUCCCGGUGUAGAGGUGAAAUUCGUAGAUAUCGGGAGGAACACCAGUGGCGAAGGCGGCUCUCUGGUCCGAUACUGACGCUGAGACGCGAAAGCGUGGGGAGCAAACAGGAUUAGAUACCCUGGUAGUCCACGCCGUAAACGAUGGGCACUAGGUGUAGGAGGUAUUGACCCCUUCUGUGCCGAAGCUAACGCAUUAAGUGCCCCGCCUAGGGAGUACGGCCGCAAGGCUAAA